rnacentral:rRNA from 1 species
UACGUAGGGUGCAAGCGUUAAUCGGAAUUACUGGGCGUAAAGCGUGCGCAGGCGGUUAUGCAAGACAGAGGUGAAAUCCCCGGGCUCAACCUGGGAACUGCCUUUGUGACUGCAUAGCUAGAGUACGGUAGAGGGGGAUGGAAUUCCGCGUGUAGCAGUGAAAUGCGUAGAGAUGCGGAGGAACACCGAUGGCGAAGGCAGCCCCCUGGGCUAACACUGACGCUCAGGCACGAAAGCGUGGGGAGCAAACAGG